AGAAGGGAAGGGAAGGAAGAGGAGAGAAAGAAGGAAAGAAAAAGUAAGAAAGGCACAUGCACUUUUAUGUAAUAAGAAAGACUGACAAGGAAAAUCCACUGAGCAUUUUAUGGAGCCAUUGAUUUCUGCCUACCAUGUCUCCAAGACUCCUCCUUCCUUGUCUCAUCACGUCAGGGUGAUUGGACAAAGCUGAGUUCCUAUAUAAGCAAAGAAGCUGCAGACCACACCAGACAAAACCCUGGCUUUUCCCAAGACUUUUUUGGAAAUCCAAGCACUUUUGCAGACAGCUGGAAUCUCACAGGCAACAUUUCCAUAAGGAGAUGCUGAUACCUCCUCCAGUUCCUCAGAAAGAGGGACUGUGGCGUCCUGCCAAGUAC